GCUUAUUCUACCUCCUCUCCCAAUCUUCUCCACAAUGCUUUUGUUGAUAAGUUCCAAGAUUUCCUGUAGGAGGAUUGGAAGAAACACGUGGGUUAAUGGUGAUAUGUUUAAAAUGUAUAUGAAGUGUUUCAAGGUUAUGGAAGCUCUACAAUUAUGUACCUAGUAGAAAGCGAAUGAAGAAUCAAACGAACAAGAAAUGAACUUCAUUAAAUGUCGUAUUUUGUAUGCAACAUUAUGUAAUUACGAGAAAUAAAAACUAACAUUUAGUAAAUCAGGAAUAUGUUGUAAAACCUUGUAAUUUUAUGGUCAAUAAUAAAUUAUCGUUUCUCUUUUCCUUUUGUAUACUCGUAGAAUCCUCAUAUUUGUCUGUAUAUUUCAGAAUAUUAAUGGGGAAUGUAUUAAUAUUAAUUUCGUUUUAUGCUUAACCUUGCAGUAAACUCCAGUCAUUAAUCCUCGAGUUUGUGAUAAUCACUUGAGAGAGUAUAAUAUAUAUCCUAUACAUUUUUUACCAUAGUAUGUUGUACUACUUUACUUGUUAUAUCAUAUAAAUGAGAUAAAUUAAUGAUCAUUAUCUUAAUGCUUUAAAUACUUUAAUACUUCGACAUACCAAUACUAUUCCAAUACCUCAAUAACUAAACGACUACGCAAUUGUCGAUUUUCUAGCUUCCCGUAGAAAUUACCCUUCAUAACGAUCACAAUUUACAUUUUCCAAACACUUGUACAGAAAAAUAGCGCAGAAUUAUAAGAGAAUUCGGAGAUUAGCUUGCAAUCUUUUUACGGAUGUUCCGCCACUGUAAGAGGGCCGCAACAUGCAAAUGAUGCACACGUGAGCAUAAAGAGAGUGGCGAGCGAAUAAGUAAAGUGUCGCUAGAGCAAAAACACCUGUCAGCUAGUAAUCCCCCUUUUUGUCUCUGUUCCUCCAGUAGGGAAUUAUUGAGUAACACCUUGAUACCGUGCAAGCAAACCAGCCAUUUUGUAACACCACGUCCAAUACCACAAAAAAAAACUAGAAUGACUGAGUGCUGACCGAACCUUGAUCUCGCGGACAAGAUACUGGCAUCUCAUCUAUUUUUUCGUUCCUGACGACUCGAAUCUAAUUCUCCGGCUGAUCGUAAACAUCACUGACUACUUGAUUGGAUAGUGUCAUGGUGACAAAAGGAGGAUGUUUUUGUUUCAUGAAACCUUUGACACUUUUGCUGGAAACUUCGGCACCUUUUUGUAGGUUAUGUUGCAAGAAUUUAAUAUCAUAGUGAAAUAGGAAGAGAUAAGAAUGUUUUUGUUUUAUGAAUGGUUUAGAUUCUAUCUUUAGGCGCUGUUCGAAGAAUUUAAUAUUACGAUUGAAUAUUAAGAGACGAGUAAUGAAAUGAAAAUAUUCUUUAGUCAAAGAUAAUUUCGGUUAAUGUAAAAAUUGUUAGAGAUGACUCAUGAUUUUUGGCGACAUAAUUGUAGCCAGUGUAGCGUAUUUAUGUGAAUGUUCUUUAAGAUAUUUUCUCUUUUCCUAAAACAGAAAGCUCCUAAACACCUUUCUUACCGUUAUAUUAUAACAUAACCUCAAGAAACGUAAUUUUCGUCAGAAUACUGAAUAAUUCAAUAAUGAAACCAGAAAUGAUAGAAUAGAAUAUAGAAUAACAGAAUAAAAUAAUAAUAAACGAAUCAAAUCGAUAAUUAAAUAAUUCAUAAUGAAUUAUUGACCUUCUCAAUACACUAACCUUACUGUUAUUUUGAAUAAUUCAAGAAUGUAAUUCUUUCGAGUACCUGAAUAAUUAUCACCAAAAAACUGAAUAAUUAAUUAGAUACUACAUCUAGAUUUAAAUGGCGUACACGUGUCUACAUGUUAACUACGUAUCAUUUCAUAAUCUGAGGAUCACGUAAAUCCACCUCAGACAUAUUUACACAUGUGCGACACUAGACAAAUUUUACGUAACUCCGAUGUGAGCCUAUAUAACUGCUAAAAUUAGUGGCGAAAUAACGAAGAAAGAGUUGAUUGAGUGCAAUCAGCACAAAGAGUAAACCAACAGAUAUCGGAUUUAUUUCGAUCUAACUUUGCUGAGAUCUACGAACCUUUAUGUCUAUAUCUCAUGCUCAUUUCAACGAAGAAAAAGAUUUUAAAAAAUAUCUUGAAGAUGUUUAGAUUGCAAGAAAGACACGAAUUUGAGAAAUUUUUUAAAUGAAAGCAUAUAAUUAAUUUGACAUUGUGAGUUGGAAUACCUGUAUCAUUUUUCCAAGGAUGAUUGCAAGGGAAUUUUACUCGGAGAUUUCUUAAACUACUGUCUAUAUUUAACAUUGAUUUUUUUAUUUGAACAGUUGGAAUAAUAAAUGAACAAUAAACAGUAAAACAAACAUUUCAUCGAUACAGUCGAUUUAGUACAUUAGAAGUGAAAAAAUGAAAUUACUGUUGCAAUUGUAGAAAUAUUUUGUACAUUGAAAGAUAUUUAAAUAAUUUAAAUAUUCAAACAUUCAAAAAAUUGUACAGUAGUAAAAUAGAUAAUUUAUUCAGUCUUAAGGUUAAAGAAGAAUAUUCCUAUGUAGUUUGUUUGUGAAGUUUUUGCUGAUUCGUCAUGAUUGAACAUACAUACUUGCAUAAAACGCAAUACUUCGGCAUGGACUGCCUAACACUAACCUCAAACACGAAUCCGUAAACAUGAAUUUCAAUGUAAAUUCUCCUUAAUGUACAUGUGCUUCGAUCUGUGCCUUUUGUCAUGCAAGAAUUUCAUUUAGUAUUACCAUCAAACAAUUGCAGAACAAUUAUUUUCAAGAGUACGUUGUGUCACUAAAAGAUGGCAUCGAUGGCUAUUUAUGAUUAAUUUCUGCAAUUUCUAUUCAUUUCCUCUCUCUUCUGAUGCAUAAUGCGCAGACAAAAAUUUUCGAUCCUUUGAUUCAUUGAUUUGACCCACUGAUCUAAUCAUUCGGCAAUCGUUGUUGAAUGUCCAGCAAGAAUGUCAUACUUAACCAAGAUGUCCAAGAACAAACACGUUUCUAGCGUGCAAAUAAUUACUUAGGGCCACGGCCAUGAUUCUUGGAAAAAUUGCAGUAGAAGUAUCCGUGGCCUUCUAAUCGAAAUCUUCGCCAAAAAAAAAAAAAAAAAAAAAAAAAAAAAAAAAAAAAAAAAAAAAAAAAAAAAAAAAAAAAAAAAAAAAAAAAAAAUGAAAA